ACAAUCAAACGGUCGCAAUCCGUCGAGCGGAGGAGGUCUACUACACCGCGCUCUAUAGAUUUGAGAACCGGGAAUGGUAUUGGUGGGGAAGUGUCGAAUGCGCAGAAGAUGUUGAUUACUUCUACGAGAAGUUUGUCAGUCUCGUUUCAGGGGGAGUCAUUCUCGCUUCAGGUGAGUAAAUCGAAACCGGCUCCGUCGCCGAUUAGCGCAAGGAAAGGUACGCCAGAGAGGAGAAAAGCUACUCCAAUGCCCUCGAGAGGAGCGGAUCAGGUAGAGAAUUCGAG
rnacentral:misc_RNA from 1 species